rnacentral:snRNA from 1 species
AUCGCUUCUCAGCCUUUUGGCUAAGAUCAAGUGUAGUAUCUGUUCUUAUCAGUUUAAAAAGUUCUCUACAAUAAAACUUUAUAAAACCCUUAGUGUACUAUUAUUUACAAGGAAUUAUA